AGAAUUGACAGCUUAAUCCAACCCAGGAACAUCUCACAAUUCAUGUCAACAAGAUCUUCGAAUACACUAGAUUUUGUCAAAUGACUAGAAACAAAAUCUUUUUUUCUUAAAAUCAUAAAUAAAUAAAACACUUAGAAUUGACUCUCACAAAAGUUACGAGUGAAUGCCCAAAGAGGAAGAUUGAGGCCUUUCCAAAUAUCAGCUUCAAUCACGGUGAAGUAUACUGUAUGUAUAUACUCUCGAAUGAAAACUCCCAUGGUUCCAAUCAUGCAAGCUCUAUAGUUCCAUACUUCUGGUGUCUUUGUGAACCCAAGAAAUGGAGCUUUAAAUUCCGGCUGUACUUUUGGAAACUCUACACCAGCAGGGGCUUUGCUGCUGCUUGGACACAGAAGAAGGAAAUCCUGUUCUUGUGAGUUGCUGAUCUAUUCAAAUAACUACCAGAUCUGCAAGCAGCACCCACAUCACCAUCAACGACAGAGCACCCAGAUUUGCAAGCAGCAAACGCCAGGUGCAAAACCUCCUGCUAGUGUUGGAUCCGCGUUCACACAAGGGCAACCUCCACUUCCAAGUCAGCAAUCAUCUCAGUCACCUUAUCCGGUUGGAAAUAUGCCUUUUGGGCAUGAUUUUGGCAAUCAAGGUGGAAAUGCAAUGCAAGUUGAUAGAGUGUCUAGGAUGCAUGGUGGUCACUCAGAAAACUUAGCACAGCUCUCUGGUCCUAUGGGGCCACCAUCUUUAGUUUCUGGUCAGAUGGGUGCUGCUAAUCAGCCUCUUCGGCCUCCUGGGUUGACACCAGAUAUGGAGAAGGCACUGCUUCAGCAGGUCAUGAGUCUCACGCCCGAGCAGAUAAAUCACCUGCCCCCAGAACAAAGAAAUCAAGUGCUGCAGCUGCAACAGAUGUUGCGUCAAUGAUGCAAUGUGUAUAUUAUAAACUAAGAAAGUUAGGCAUGCUUAAUCCUUCCAAUUUAGCAUAAGGUUAUUAUUCUUUUAUGAUGAGGUUUUGUGGAAGUUGAUACAGAA